GACGAACGCUGGCGGCGUGCUUAACACAUGCAAGUCGAACGGUAAGGCUCUUCGGGAUACACGAGUGGCGAACGGGUGAGCAACACGUGGGUGAUCUGCCCUGCACUUCGGGAUAAGCCUGGGAAACUGGGUCUAAUACCGGAUAGGACCCUGGGAUGCAUGUCCUGGGGUGGAAAGCUUUUGCGGUGUGGGAUGGGCCCGCGGCCUAUCAGCUUGUUGGUGGGGUGAUGGCCUACCAAGGCGACGACGGGUAGCCGGCCUGAGAGGGUGACCGGCCACACUGGGACUGAGAUACGGCCCAGACUCCUACGGGAGGCAGCAGUGGGGAAUAUUGCACAAUGGGCGCAAGCCUGAUGCAGCGACGCCGCGUGAGGGAUGACGGCCUUCGGGUUGUAAACCUCUUUCAGCACCGACGAAGCGCAAGUGACGGUAGGUGCAGAAGAAGGACCGGCCAACUACGUGCCAGCCGCCGCGUAA
rnacentral:rRNA from 1 species